AGUGAACGCUGGCGGUAGGCCUAACACAUGCAAGUCGAACGGCAGCACAGUAAGAGCUUGCUCUUACGGGUGGCGAGUGGCGGACGGGUGAGGAAUACAUCGGAAUCUACUUUUUCGUGGGGGAUAACGUAGGGAAACUUACGCUAAUACCGCAUACGACCUACGGGUGAAAGCAGGGGAUCUUCGGACCUUGCGCGAUUGAAUGAGCCGAUGUCGGAUUAGCUAGUUGGCGGGGUAAAGGCCCACCAAGGCGACGAUCCAUAGCUGGUCUGAGAGGAUGAUCAGCCACACUGGAACUGAGACACGGUCCAGACUCCUACGGGAGGCAGUAGUGGGGAAUAUUGGACAAUGGGCGCAAGCCUGAUCCAGCCAUACCGCGUGGGUGAAGAAGGCCUUCGGGUUGUAAAGCCCUUUUGUUGGGAAAGAAAAGCAGCAGGUUAAUACCCCGCUGUUCUGACGGUACCCAAAGAAUAAGCACCGGCUAACUUCGUG
rnacentral:rRNA from 1 species